CCUACGGGUGGCAGCAGUGGGGAAUAUUGGACAAUGGGGGGAACCCUGAUCCAGCCAUGCCGCGUGUGUGAAGAAGGCCCUCGGGUUGUAAAGCACUUUCAGUGAGGAAGAACGCCUGGUGGUUAAUACCCAUCAGGAAAGACAUCACUCACAGAAGAAGCACCGGCUAACUCCGUGCCAGCAGCCGCGGUAAUACGGAGGGUGCGAGCGUUAAUCGGAAUUACUGGGCGUAAAGCGCGCGUAGGUGGCUUGAUAAGCCGGUUGUGAAAGCCCCGGGCUCAACCUGGGAACGGCAUCCGGAACUGUCAAGCUAGAGUGCAGGAAAGGAAGGUAGAAUUCCCGGUGUAGCGGUGAAAUGCGUAGAGAUCGGGAGGAAUACCAGUGGCGAAGGCGGCCUUCUGGACUGACACUGACACUGAGGUGCGAAAGCGUGGGUAGCAAACAGGAUUAGAUACCCUUGUAGUC
rnacentral:rRNA from 1 species